UUAAAAUAUAUGUAAAUAAAAUUAUAUAAAUUAAUAAUAAAAAACAAAAUUUAUUAUCUGUGAUUGCGCCUACCGAAAACAUUAACCGAAAUAAUAUCAAUAAAUUUGUGCAUGGACAUAAAUUUGGAUGGAAUUCAUGGCAAAAGAAGGUUAAAAGACUUCGAGGUUUUCUUUCACACCUUGACAGAUGCCUGUCGAACACUUGGGUCUCAAGAUGUUGAAAAGGACAUACGAAACGCCUUAAAAAUAAUAAAAAAACGUGUUAUUCAUGCGCAGUGCCUUAAAAAUAAGAAACAAUUAAAAAAUUAAUUGUAACAAAAAA